UAUUGCUGAGAAUUCAUACUUGAUUGAACAGCAAAAAGCUCCAUUAGCCAAUAAAGGUAGCUCAAACAGGUAAAGUAAACAUCCAACUUGAGUUGAGGUAAAGGUGGACUACGCGGGAAAGAUUUUCUGUUGACUGUUGUCCUCUUUGACCAUCACGUUGACCAUUUUUAAUCUCCUCUUAAAAGAUCUUAUCUUUACCUUUAACUCUCGACAGUAAGGAGCCAGCUAUCUUUGGUCCUCAUCAGGUGUUUAAGUUUGUUUUUCCUUGUGAAUUUAGCCAAGUACUAACCAGCCACCUAAGUAAAAACCUGAUUUUACCUGCUUAACCAAAGAAAUAUUUCAAGAUGUAUUUUUGCAAAGCUUCAACCAACCUGACUAAGCCUUGUAUUUGAUCAAAUUUUUCAUAAACCGUUUGGACGCUUUGUUUUUUUCAUGUUUUCUAUAAUCAAUGGGUUAAUAUGGUUCAUUUAUUUUAACCAAAAUAGUGAAAUCAAAGUUAAUAUUAUUACCAUUUGGUUGAUAAAAUCUCAGAUGCUUAAAGUAACCUGCAGUAAAAUCUUUCGCUUCAUGAUAAACAAUCUGAUCAAUCUGAACAUGAAAAGUGGUAGUUUAGAUAAUGAUAUGGACUGUUGAAAAAAGAGAAAACAUUUAAAAGCUUUAACCGGUAUUAAUGAAUAAUUGAGUUUACGUCGCUACUAAGACAUGAUAGUUCCAUGUUCUUGAAUAAUACGAUUAGGGUUAUGUCGUAGUCUAUCAUUUAAACAUCAACCAAACAGUAUAAUAAGGUUGGUCAACAUUUUUUCACUGAAUAGAUUUUCAUCGACAUCGAAAUCCUCGAUUAGCUGAUUGACUGAAGUUUUGGAUGAAAAUGUACUGUAGAUCAAUUUGAUAAAAAAAUUACUGUUGACUUGCUGAUUAUCUUCGGUAAUUGAUUCAAAAAUGAACAUCAACCAGAAAUUCUGGACCAGAAUUUCAAAGCUUUUUUGUUCCGUUAACUAUUACGUCGAUUUAAAAUUGUGAACUAACGCCAUCUAAUGUUAAUUAUUUAACUGUUGACUCUAUUUUCAUCUGGUCUUAACCGUUAAUCUGGAUUCAAAUAAAAUAUUGCAUUAACCAUUUGAUUAAUUCAAUUAUCAAGGGCGAGUUUCGGUUGAUAAUUGAAGUAAGAAUUUGAUUAAUAAACAUUCCGAAGGCCGUAAAACUGUAGUAACAACCUCUUUAUCUUUGUUAAUUGUCUUUUUUAUUUGAUUUUUGUUUUGUUUUCAUUCUGCUUGUUUUAUAUGUUAUUGUAAUGUUAUGUGUAUUUUACAAUCAAUUGGGUCACUUUAAAUUGUCUUUAUAUUUUGUUAUAAUUGUAAGUAUUUUAUGAACAUUAUUAAGCUAAAUCAAGCAAAUAGGUGAUCAAUAAUCAACAAGUGCAACAACGCAAAAAAUGGAUAAAAAAAGUUUUCAGUCAACUAACGUUAGUCAACUUGGCAAAUUGACCUUACCUUAACAACUUGGAAUAACCUCUAAUUGCUUUUAUGCUGGAUAAUUAACACCAUUAUCCACUUGACGUUACGGAUAAAUGAGUAAUAAUUGGUAACCUUUAAACUUGAAAUUUUGAUCCCUGUAAAGCAAAAAAAGGCUGCAUUCGAUGAAAGGACACUUUGUAUUGGAUAGAGGUCUGAUCAUCAGUAUUUUCCCAAAUUCUGUUUUCACUUCAGAUUAUCAGACUAAUCAGGAGGAAAGGAAGCCAAUAGAAGGAAAAAGCAAACAGAUAGUAGGAGGUGAAAGUGAAAUGUUUCAGAAAACAACAGCCUCAGGAAAAGUAGAUGAUCAUUGAUGAUGAUAUCUGAUUUUAAGUUGACUACUCAUCUUUUGGGUAACAGUGAACAAGUGUUUAGCUGACGGGAAGAUAUUGUUAAUAAGAGCAAGUAAUCUUAAAAAUUACGGUUCAAUUAAGAUUAAAGUCUGUUUAUGAAAUAAUUUUAAGUCACAAAUUGAAAUGGGCCAGAUAAGGAUCAAGCCAAUUCAUCAACUUCUGUCACAAUGGAUGACUAAAACGAGAAUAACUUGGUUGUCAAAGGAAAUCUUAAAUCAGAAGAAAUCAAAAUUGAAAAAUAUUCCAUUAUUUCAUUGAUUUUGUGUUUUUCUGUAUUGAUUGGUCGUGAAUUAAAGCUUCAAAGGUGUUAUGCUUCAUGAGUGUCAAUUAUCAUGUACAAUGCACUUGUGUUACAAGCAAAUUUGUAAAUAGCAAAGCAGUAAUAGACAAUAGUGUAAUAAAAAACUACUGAAACUG